AUGCAGUAACAGACGAAACGCAGUUGUUCAAAAAGCAUACAUAAUAUGCAGCGUAUUUGUAUGUUUUGCAACAAAGGCGGAGCAUUGAUUCCGAAACAUAAUAUUAUUCGGAGUGUUUAAAUCUAAACAAUUCAGAACAUGGAACUCUGCAUAUAGGCCAUUUGGAUACACUACUGUCAUUAAAUUAAUGAAUAUCAUGAGUACUCAUUGGCUGACUUGCAGUGUAGUCUGGCAAUUGACAAUAACUGAUAUAUAUUACCCAGUGAAAUAGUGGUGGAACCGAUGUUGGAAUUUCUAAAGACAAGAACUCAACCAAAAAAAAUUAAUAUGGAUACACCUGAACUUUCUUUUUUUAAGUAUUAUUUAAAGUAUUUAAAAUUAAAUGAUAAAAAUCAACGUCAAUUCAAAAAAAUUGUAUUAAAUACCAUUAAUCAACUUCUCGACAUCCAAGAAACGUCGUAUGAAACGCCAAGAUACAAUAAAUGAAAAUGUAUAAAAAGUUGGACAAGUGGCGGUCGUACCGCUCUGCUGUUCAGUAGUUGUCAAGCAUGUCGUUGUAAUGGAUAUGUUAAAUAUGUUGAAUUUUUUUUUUUUUAAAGCACAUCAUUGUAUAAUCAAUACAUUAUUUCACUAUGCUCCGCUCAGAAUCUAAUAUCUAAUUAUUUAGAAUUUGUUAUUAACUUACCUCAAUGUCACCAAUAAUUUCUCUUCUGGAGUGAUACUUUU